CCUACGGGAGGCAGCAAUUAGGAAUCUUGCGCAAUGGGCGAAAGCCUGACGCAGCGACGCCGCGUGAGGGAAGAAGGCCUUCGGGUUGUAAACCUCUUUUGUCGGAGAGACGGUAUCCGACGAAUAAGCUCCGGCUAACUCCGUGCCAGCAGCCGCGGUAAUACGGAGGGAGCGAGCGUUGUCCGAAGUUACUGGGCGUAAAGCGCGCGUAGGCGGGGAAUUAAGUGAGAAGUGAAAGGCUGGGGCUCAACCUCUGCAGUGCUUCUCAUACUGGUUCUCUUGAGGGCGGUAGGGAGAAGUGGAAUGGCUGGUGUAGCGGUGAAAUGCGUAGAUAUCAGUCGGAACACCGGUGGCGAAGGCGGCUUCUUGGGCCGUUCUGACGCUGAGGCGCGAAAGCCAGGGGAGCGAACGGGAUUAGAUACCCUUGUAGUC
rnacentral:rRNA from 1 species